GCGAUACCNCGAGGAGGAGCAAAUCUGAAAAAAGACGUCCCUAGUUCGGAUUGUAGGCUGAAACUCGCCUACAUGAAGCUGGAAUUGCUAGUAAUCACAGGUCAGCAUACUGUGGUGAAUACGUUCCCGGGCCUUGUACACACCGCCCGUCACACCAUGAGAGUUUGUAACACCCAAAGCCGGUGGGGUAACCUUUUGGAGCCAGCCGUCUAAGGUGGGACAGAUGAUUGGGGUGAAGUCGUAACAAGGUAUC
rnacentral:rRNA from 1 species